UACGUAGGGGGCAAGCGUUAUCCGGAUUUACUGGGUGUAAAGGGAGCGUAGACGGCCAGACAAGUCUGAAGUGAAAAUCCAGCGCUUAACGUUGGAAGUGCUUUGGAAACUGCCGGGCUGGAGUGCAGGAGGGGCAGGCGGAAUUCCUAGUGUAGCGGUGAAAUGCGUAGAUAUUAGGAGGAACACCAGUGGCGAAGACGGCCUGCUGGACUGCAACUGACGUUGAGGCGCGAAAGCGUGGGGAGCAAACAGG
rnacentral:rRNA from 1 species